GAUGAACGCUGGCGGCGUGCCUAAUACAUGCAAGUCGAGCGAACAGACGCGGCGCUUGCUCCUCUCACGUUAGCCGCGGACGUGUGAGUAACACGUGUAUCCCCUCCCUAUAAUACUGGUAUAACUUCGGGACACCGGCGCUAAUCCCGUAUAAUCUCUUGCACCGCAUGGUUCAUUAGUGAAAGACGGUUUUGCUGUCACUUAUAGAUGGAUCCGCGCCGCAUGAGCUAGUUGUUACGGUAACGGCUUACCAAGGCAACGAUGCGUAGCCGACCUGAGAGAGUGAUCGGCGACCUUGGAGGUGGGACACGGUCCAGACGCCUACGGGAGGCAGCAGUAGGGAAUCUGCCGCAAUGGGCGAAAGCAUGACGGAGCAGGGCCGCGUGAGUGAUGAAGGUCUUCGGAUCGUAAAAAUCUGUUAUUAGGGAAGAACAAAUGUGUAAGUAACUAUGCACGUAUUGACGGUACCUAAUCAGAAAGCAACGGCUAACUACGUG
rnacentral:rRNA from 1 species